AGAAGUCGAUAAGACCAGGAGAAGUGAAGAUGUAACAUGUUAUCUGUCGCUCCUCUUAGCUGGCGGAGAGAAUUUACAUUUAAAGAUUAGCAGAGUGAGAAAGAGAAAUCUGCCUUUUGUUGUGUGGGGUGAGGAGGAGGCAUCUACCCUGGCCUUGACGCUAUCUCCCAUCACCUCUGCUAUCCAGACAGGACUCACCGAGAAAAGAUUGAUCUCUGGGCUGGUGAACAUAAUCUCUGUCCCAGUCAGAAAAGGAGAGAGGAAAUUAGCAGAGCGAUUGGUGGAGAAUGAUAUCUGUCAAAAGAAACACUUGGAGAGCACUGAGUUUAGUAAUAGGUGACUGCCGGAAAAAAGGGAACUUUGAAUAUUGUCAAGGAGGCAUGAGCCCGGAACGCGCUUGCUUUUAGGAGACAGCCACUUUCUGUGUGGUACGCUGGAUUCAAGGAUGCCUGAUCGUACUGAGAAGCACUCCACAAUGCCAGACUCACCUGUGGAUGUGAAGACGCAAUCUAGGCUGACUCCUCCAACGAUGCCACCUCCCCCAACUACUCAAGGAGCUCCAAGAACC
rnacentral:sRNA from 1 species